rnacentral:lncRNA from 1 species
GAGGGUUCCUUGUGGAAGCAGUGUGUGGGCUAGGCCUGAAAAGGCAACUUUUCAUCAGCCAGAACCGAGGAGGCUGUGUCCACAGUCACUCCUGGCUCACUGCAGAGGAGGCUGGAAAACAGCAUCCCCAGGAAGAAGAGAACAUGGAUUUUGGCUCUGUUAGGCAGCAUUGGCAGGACUGAGGAUCCACAUUAUUUCUCUAGGGAAAACCUUUCCAUCUGUCAAACAACGAGCUCACUGACAAACUCACUACCACCGGAUCCACAAGACACAGAACAUCUUGUGCUCCACACGGGAGGCACGGGGGGAAAUUAUCCCAGAAGAAUGUCAAUCAGCAUUGCUCAUUGCCCCAGAUCCAAGCCAGCAGGCCUGAAGUGAAACCUCACAUUUAUAGGGAAGGUCCCUUGACUUUUUCUCAUCACAGGUGCCCAGGCUGGGCUAAGUUCUUAUUACAAGUCCUCCACACCACCAUUCCCCUUCCAUGGAAGCCAUUCAUUCAUGAUUAUAUGUUGUUGUUUAUUUCCCCCAUAAGACUGUUGGUGCUGUUCCCUGACUUAAAAAUAUGUGUGCAGGCCAGAGAAUAGUUCAAUAGUUCCAGGAAAAAAAUUGAAGCAACAUAUGGGUGAACCCUACCUUUGAGAAAGUCAGUUUUUAUAAGACUGUGAGAUAAUAAUAAGCAACCUAUUUGUAGUCUUUACUUUUUAAAAUGCUUCCCUAUACACGGAAUUGCCCUCAGCUGUCAGUAACAGGGAACUAACUGUGGUGGAUAAAGCAAAUGGAUGUAAUAUUCUUCACACAGGACACGAAGUCUGGAGUUUGGGACUCCAGGGUAGCUGCAGCAGCUGCAAAAUGC